rnacentral:rRNA from 1 species
UCAUCAUGCCCUUAUGUCAGGGCUCACACAUGCUACAAUGGUCGGUACAACGCGCAGCGACACUGUGAGGUGGAGCGAAUCGCUGAAAGCCGGCCUUAGUUCGGAUUGGGGUCUGCAACUCGACCCCAUGAAGUCGGAGUCGCUAGUAAUCGCAGAUCAGCAAUGCUGCGGUGAAUACGUUCCCGGGCCUUGUACACACCGCCCGUCACGUCAUGAAAGUUGGUAACACCCGAAGCCGGUGGCCCAAACUUGUUAGGGAGCCGUCGAAGGUGGGAUCGGCGAUUGGGACGAAGUCGUAACAAGGUACCCGUACCGGAA